AGUCUUCCGAAUCCAUGACGAGAUUUUGUCAGACACCAGACCAUCAAUAGUGAUGGCGCUCCCAAGACAAGUGAAGCG
rfam:Schistosoma haematobium scaffold1237_1, whole genome shotgun sequence.